rnacentral:snRNA from 1 species
GUGCUCAAUUUGGCAGCAAAUAUACUAAAAAUGGAAUAAUAAAGAGAUCUUCAUGGCCUCUAAGCAAGGCUGACCUCAAACUUACUAAGCAUUCCAUAUUCUU